AUUGAACGCUGGCGGCAGGCCUAACACAUGCAAGUCGAGCGGAUGAAGGGAGCUUGCUCCUGGAUUCAGCGGCGGACGGGUGAGUAAUGCCUAGGAAUCUGCCUGGUAGUGGGGGAUAACGUCCGGAAACGGGCGCUAAUACCGCAUACGUCCUGAGGGAGAAAGUGGGGGAUCUUCGGACCUCACGCUAUCAGAUGAGCCUAGGUCGGAUUAGCUAGUUGGUGGGGUAAAGGCCCACCAAGGCGACGAUCCGUAACUGGUCUGAGAGGAUGAUCAGUCACACUGGAACUGAGACACGGUCCAGACUCCUACGGGAGGCAGCAGUGGGGAAUAUUGGACAAUGGGCGAAAGCCUGAUCCAGCCAUGCCGCGUGUGUGAAGAAGGUCCUCGGAUUGUAAAGCACUUUAAGUUGGGAGGAAGGGCAGUAAGUUAAUACCUUGCUGUUUUGACGUUACCAACAGAAUAAGCACCGGCUAACUUCGUG
rnacentral:rRNA from 1 species